CCGGAAGUGAUCGUCAACGGCACAGUUUGAAUGGCUCGUGUGUGGCGAUGCAUGUUGCGUGCGCGUUUGUGACUGCCGGUGCGUGAGAGUGAGUAUGUUCGUGAAUGCGGAAUGCGUGUGAUUUUCCUUAAAAACCUACACACUGAUCUUAUUUGAUCUGGUCGUAGUUGUGGCCCGACUUUGACCGGAAGUGAUAGGAAAAACCGCUCGCUUAGCCUUCGUGGCGAUGGGCAACAGGCUCGAGUUAACCUUCAGGGCCGCCACGCUUUAAAGUUGUGGUCAGAGGUGAUGAAUUGAUCAGAUAUACUAGUUCGGAGUGCGUUUGCGUUCUUUCCAAACGGCACGACGGACAAUGAGUAAAGAGGCGAUUCUGAUCUAA
ensembl:scaRNA